rnacentral:antisense_RNA from 1 species
AUGGUAUUAAUUGGGUUUCAUGGAUUGGUUUCAAUUCUGAAUGCUUUUCUGGAGCCAAAGCUCAUCUCAGCACUCUUGGGCUGCAUGCUGUAAUCCUGGGGGAUGGGGGAUUAGUCCUGUGGCUUUGCUCUCUGGCCCCUUGAGAUUAAGCACCUGCUGUGCUGGAGGUGCUGAGGUGUUCCCAGUUCACUUGCAACAACACUCUGGCAGGGGCUGCUGGCAAAAUUGCUCCAGUGGGGCAGUGGGAGUCUCCACACACAUGUGCACCAAUGGAGGAGGCUGCAGAAAGACUUCAAUUAUUUUAUUUGAUGUGCCACUGGACAGACUUGUAAGUGGAAGCUCAAGGAAUUCAGUGAGUUGUCUCUGGAAAAGAGCAGAGCAGAUGAACACAACAGAUGAAGCUAUUAAUGCAGCUUUACCUUACUGACCCAGAGCCCUUCGAGUCUGAGUUUCCUCUGGACCAAGUGGUUAUCUUCUCUAUACAGACUGGGGAUUCUAUCUCCCAAGCAUGCAAUAACUGCCCCUUUUGAAUAUUCUAUUCCAAGACUCAUUGC